AUGAUAGCAAUGAAAAAAAUUUGUGGUAUUCAAAAGGCUUAUCUCUUGUGUAUUAUAAAGAAAGCAAUCAAGGAUAAAAGGUUUCAGGACCACAGGAAACAUGGAAAUGUGCAAAAUGCACAUGCUGUAAGGCAUCCUUCAAUACUUAAAGCAUGCACUGGUGCCUCCUUCCUGUUGAUGGUUGGAUGAGAACCAGCUUUAAGACCUCUGGAUUUGUGGAAUCUGUGUGCUUAGAUUCACCUUCUACAGGUGUCUCCAAUUAAAUAGGUGUGAUACAUCCAAUAUCUACUGCCCCUGCUGCAUACUGUAGGUGUCAAAAUGCUCCUGUGAUUGAUUUCUAAAAACCUGGGCUUACAUGUAUACACACCAUACACUGUAACAUUAUUAAUGCUGUAAAAUAAAAUACUCAAAAGGCACA
rnacentral:lncRNA from 1 species